GUCAGCACCCCGCUCUGAAGAUACGGGGCUUCAUGCCUCUCCUUUGGAUAGCUGACCAGCUAUAGCCUUAACUGGCUACGUUAUUGGGAAGCGUUAAAGUUCUUACCUUGGGAUGCGAAGCUAGUCCCAAGCUCUAAA
rnacentral:sRNA from 1 species